GACGAACGCUGGCGGCGUGCUUAACACAUGCAAGUCGAACGGUGAAGCACCUUCCUUUUGGUGGGUGUGGAUGAGUGGCGAACGGGUGAGUAACACGUGAGUAACCUGCCCCCUUCUUCUGGAUAACCGCAUGAAAGUGUGGCUAAUACGGGAUAUUCUGGGUCUGUCGCAUGGCGGGCCUGGGAAAGAUAUUGUUUCGGUGGGGGAUGGGCUCGCGGUCUAUCAGGUUGUUGGUGGGGUGAUGGCCUACCAAGGCGGUGACGGUUAGCCGGCCUGAGGGGGUGGACGGUCACACUGGGACUGAGACACGGCCCAGACUCCUACGGGAGGCAGCAGUGGGGAAUAUUGCACAAUGGGCGCAAUCCUGAUGCAGCGACGCCGCGUGAGUGAUGGAGGCCUUCGGGUUGUAAACCUCUUUCGCCAGUGAAGCAGGCCUGUCCCUUUUGUGGGUGGGUUGACGGUAGCUGGAUAAGAAGCGCCGGCUAACUACGUG
rnacentral:rRNA from 1 species